CGCACAUUCCCACUUUCAUCUCAGUCCUAUGCCACUUAUUCCAUUCAUGUAGGAAAACAGCUGCUUACACUGUGAAUCACCAUCAAUAUACAGAGCGUGUGUGUGUGUGUGUGUGUGUGGUUGAGAGCGAGAGAGAGAAGUCUGUCCGUCUAGUGAAGGUGUCUGUUUCCUGCAUGGAAAGACAGCAGGAUGAGGGAGAAAGCAAAGACAGGAAGCAGAUCCGUUUGUUUUAUAGACGCUACACACGCACACACACACACACGCACACACACACACACACACACACAGAAACACAAAGACAGUUUGUCUACAUCAUUUCAGCCUUUGUGAGAAUGAGUACAUGUCGGAGAACAGUAUUGUUUAUUGAUUUUGAUUGGUCAGAAGGAGUUGAUUAAUUUUCUAAUAUGUUAUCGUUUCUAUAGUAACGGCUGUUGGUGUAACAUGCAUACACGUCUUUUUUUCCCCAACACUGUUGUCCAAAGUUUUAUGUGUUGCAAUACUGUGAUUGUGUGCGAUUGUGUGUGUGCAUGGGUGUGUGUGUGUGUGUGUAUGUGUGUGUUGUUGAUAGCUGCACUGGAUCACAUGCAUACCUUUUGUAUAUCUGAUGCAUUCAAAGCGAUGUCCACCAGAGGGCAAUGGAGAGCUCUUCAUGCUCCUUGGUUUCCAUGGCGACCUGUAAAAUGGUUGUGUGAAAAAGUCUUGACUCUUAUUGGUCAGAAAGUGUUGAUCUCUCUCGAGAUUUGAAAGUAUUCAUUUCCAUGUAUGUGCGUGAUACAGAGCCACGAUUAGUUUGUCUAGUCUGUUGAUAUCUGGUUUGCUUGGUAGCGAGUGUGCUUGGUAGUUAGUAUGUUUGGUAGCUAACGUGUUUGGUAGCUAGUUUGCUUGUUAGCUCAUUUGUUUGGUAGCUCAUUUGUUUGGUAGCUAGCUUGUUUGGUAGUUUGUUUGGUAGCUAGCUUGUUUGGUAGCUCAUUUGUUUGGUAGCCACUUUGCUUGGUAGUUAGCUUGCUUGGUAGCUACUUCGUUUGGUAGCCCCUUUGUUUGGUAGUUAGUUUGUUUGGUAGCCCCUUUGUUUGGUAGUUAGUUUGUUUGGUAGCUAGUUUGUUUGGUAGUUAGUUUGUUUGGUAGCCCCUUUGCUUGGUAGUUAGUUUGUUUGGUAGCUACUUUGCUUGGUACUAGUUUAUUUGGUCGCUAGUUUGUUUGGUAGCUACUUUGUUGCUAGCUAGUUUGCUUGGUAGGUAGUUUGCUUGCUAGCUAGUUUAUUUGGCUACAUCACAAACUGUACAUUAGGACGUUAAUAGUGAAAAUGAAGUAGGCGGAAUACUAUUUUGAGUGACAGUAAUGUACAAGAGAUUUGCAAACCAUAUAUUUACCGUAAUUCUUUUAUCAUCACUUUUAUCUCCUGGCAUGGCGUUCUUUCCUGUCACACAGACACAGGACGUACAGACACCUCGGCCGUCGUCUUUGCCACCGCUUUCCACAGGAGACGUGAGGUUAGCGUUAGUUAGCGCUACAGCUUUUCUGCCUUUAAUGACUCGAAUCCAUAACUAAUAUUUUCGUACCGACACGCCCCCAACUCAGAAACUCUGAUCUCAUUCCCACUCGUAAUUACGACCUGUGGUGACGUUCACGUGCGUUCAACUCGUAAUACGAUCUUUCCUCACCGUAACAGUGUGAUAUGUCAUUCCUGUGACUCAGAUCGUCCUGCUUUCAUGUUUCUCCAUCCAGCAGGGUGUGAUAGCAGCGUCGUGUGGAUGUUUUUAUAUCCUAGUGGGGACCAAACGUCCAGGUGUUUCGGUCACUGGGGUUCAGGUUAGGGUUAGAUUUCCACAACGGUUAGCCGUAUGAGCUAGGUAUAUAAAAGGGAUAGAUAAUUAAAAAAUAAAGAAAAAAACCUAUACGGUACCCUGACCAUUUUUAAUUCAGCAGCAACAAAAAAAAUAUUUUUUUAUGACAAAAUUUUGCAUCAUUUUUUUAAAGGAUAAAUCAGUUACUUGUCGCAGUGAGAUGUAAUUGAGAUAUUGUGAUAUGUUGUUUAUUAAAUGUAUACAUAUAUACCAUUAUUAUUAUUAU
ensembl:lncRNA